GCCUGUAUGGCCAAGCGGUAAGGCAUCCCACUUGUAAUGGGGAGAUCGCGAGUUCGAUCCUCGCUGCGGGCU
rfam:Thecamonas trahens ATCC 50062 unplaced genomic scaffold supercont1.8, whole genome shotgun sequence.